rnacentral:rRNA from 1 species
CAGCCGGUGCUUGCUGCUCCAAUCAGCAAAGAGCCUCUGUUGCUUUAUAUCGCAGCCACAGGACAAGUCGUCAGUACAGUGCUUACGGUCGAGCGGGAAGCAGAAGGAAAAGCUUUCAAAGUUCAGCGGCCAGUGUAUUAUUUGUCUGAAGUCUUGACUCCAUCCAAGCAGAGAUAUCCUCAUUAUCAGAAGCUUAUGUAUGGAAUAUACAUGACCACAAAGAAGGUUGCUCAUUAUUUCUCUGAUCAUUCCAUCACAGUCGUCAGCGACGCUCCACUAUCAGAGAUUUUGCACAACAGAGAUGCAACUGGUCGAGUGGCGAAAUGGGUGAUUGAACUUCUUGCCCUUGAUAUCAAGUUUGAGGCAAAGAAAUCCAUUAAGUCCCAGGCAAUAGCAGAUUUCCUCGCCGAGUGGAUUGAACAGCAGCAGCCGACUAAAGUUCACUCGGAGCAUUGGACCAUGUUUUUUGAUGGCUCUAAGAUGUUGAAUGGUUCCGGUGCUGGGGUUGUCCUGGUUUCCCCCAGAGGAGAUAAGCUCAAAUAUGUGCUCCAGAUUCACUUUGAUUCCUCCAACAAUGAGGCAGAGUAUGAGGCCCUCUUAUACGGAUUGCGCAUGGCCAUUUCACUCGGCGUCCGUCGCCUGAUGGUCUAUGGCGAUUCAGAUUUAGUGGUCAACCAAGUGAUGAAGGAGUGGGACGUGAGAAGCCCAGCCAUGACUGGAUACUGCAGUGCAGUGAGGAAGCUGGAAAAGAAGUUCGAG